AACGAACGCUGGCGGCAGGCUUAACACAUGCAAGUCGAACGCCCCGCAAGGGGAGUGGCAGACGGGUGAGUAACGCGUGGGAACAUACCCUUUCCUGCGGAAUAGCUCCGGGAAACUGGAAUUAAUACCGCAUACGCCCUACGGGGGAAAGAUUUAUCGGGGAAGGAUUGGCCCGCGUUGGAUUAGCUAGUUGGUGGGGUAAAGGCCUACCAAGGCGACGAUCCAUAGCUGGUCUGAGAGGAUGAUCAGCCACAUUGGGACUGAGACACGGCCAAAACUCCUACGGGAGGCAGCAGUGGGGAAUAUUGGACAAUGGGCGCAAGCCUGAUCCAGCCAUGCCGCGUGAGUGAUGAAGGCCUUAGGGUUGUAAAGCUCUUUCACCGAUGAAGAUAAUGACGGUAGUCGGAGAAGAAGCCCCGGCUAACUUCGUGCCAGCAGCCGCAGUAAAAC
rnacentral:rRNA from 1 species